UACGUAGGGAGCGAGCGUUGUCCGGAAUUACUGGGUGUAAAGGGAGCGUAGGCGGGGAUGCAAGUUGGAUGUUUAAACUAUCGGCUCAACCGGUAAUUGCAACCAAAACUGCAACUCUUGAGUGAAGUAGAGGCAGGCGGAAUUCCUAGUGUAGCGGUGAAAUGCGUAGAUAUUAGGAGGAACACCAGUGGCGAAGGCGGCCUGCUGGGCUUUAACUGACGCUGAGGCUCGAAAGCGUGGGGAGCAAACAGG
rnacentral:rRNA from 1 species